rnacentral:rRNA from 1 species
GAUGAACGCUGGCGGCGUGCCUAAUACAUGCAAGUCGAGCGAAUGGAUUAAGAGCUUGCUCUUAUGAAGUUAGCGGCGGGCGGGUGAGUAACACGUGGGUAACCUGCCCAUAAGACUGGGAUAACUCCGGGAAACCGGGGCUAAUACCGGAUAACAUUUUGAACCGCAUGGUUCGAAAUUGAAAGGCGGCUUCGGCUGUCACUUAUGGAUGGACCCGCGUCGCAUUAGCUAGUUGGUGAGGUAACGGCUCACCAAGGCAACGAUGCGUAGCCGACCUGAGAGGGUGAUCGGCCACGCUGGGACUGAGACACGGCCCAGACUCCUACGGGAGGCAGCAGUAGGGAAUCUUCCGCAAUGGACGAAAGUCUGACGGAGCAACGCCGCGUGAGUGAUGAAGGCUUUCGGGUCGUAAAACUCUGUUGUUAGGGAAGAACAAGUGCUAGUUGAAUAAGCUGGCACCUUGACGGUACCUAACCAGAAAGCCACGGCUAACUACGUGCCAGCAGCCGCCGUAA